rnacentral:snRNA from 1 species
UAACUCGGGUUUCCCUUCAAAAACGCAUAAAUCUUUCGCCUUUGACUAAAGAUUUCCGUGGAGGGGAACAACUCAAUGAGUCUGUACAUCAAUUUUUCCUUCAUAGCCCCACUGCGGUGG